CUUCAGUGAAGAAACGAUGACGAGUCGGAACAGGACUCUAGUCUGGUUUUGGGGUUACUUCUGCAGAGUCACGUUCUGUGGUUCUGCUCCAGUUCCUCAGAGCACAGAGUCCUUUUUGGUUGAAGACAUCGAGGCAUUUGUCUGAGAAGG